CCUGAGUAGCAUGAGAUAUCUAUUUCCCAAUAGACGUUGAUGAAAGCAGCAAGCUUAGGGCUACAUGUAAAUCCACUACGACUAACGGCGAUUUAAACCAUUGAGUCAUAAAAUACAGUAACGCUAGCUAGUAGCAAGGAAAGAUCCUAGGGAAAUCUUGAGCCAACCCUACCGUUGCAGUGAAACCUUUGGUGGAUUUGCUACUUUCU
rnacentral:sRNA from 12 species